rnacentral:lncRNA from 1 species
CUGCAGUACAAUUCCUCCAGAAACCAAAAUUGCUAAGAAAGCUAGUUUCCCAGUGUGCAGGCAAGCACGCAUAUAACCCGGUAAGUCUGCCAUCACCCCACUAGCCUUGCAGCAUACAAGGGGGCAGCUGCAAUGAAUAUGUUAUUAACACACACAUAUACAAGCAGAGAUCUUUAGGUUAGAAGUGAGAACAAAACUGAGAAGAGAGAAAUAGGCAGAUCAAGUAGAUGUAGAGAACACAACAACGUAAUUGAAAUAUUUUAGGUUCAUUCAAAAAACUAUAAAGAUAUAAAUAAAUGAAUUACUAGAAAUAGCAUUACAAAUUUACAAUCCCCUCAAGUUUGAAUAGCAACCCUCAUUUUCUCCUCAUCUCGGAAAGUUAGACAAUUGAGAACCACAGUCGUGAGACUUUAAAAGAAGGAUAAUAGACACUCCUAGAACCACAAGAUACUCAACAAUCUUCCAGAAAACAUUUACUCUGCAGUUCUACAACAAUUAAAUAUAUUUAGCUGUUCAAGACCAGCCCUCGUCUUUUUAUUAUUUUGCUAUAUCAAUGUUGUAAAAGACAAGCAAUGUGGUGAAGCAAUGUAGGAAUAAUCAUGAACCAACCAAGGAAGAGAACACAUAACAAAUAGAAGCAGCAGCCACAUGGUAUGUAUACGAUAACCAACAAGUCUAUGAGAUACAAAAUAGCAAUCAAAUUUACUCCCAAGGCAACCGAUGGCCAGUCCAAACUUGAAAUAAACAGCAAAAGCUUUUCGGGGUUACUCGCCAAGACAUUUCAAUACAUAUGCAUUUCACCAUGUUCAUCAACCAUAAUGUUAACAAAAUCAAUAUAUAUAUCCACAAAAACGACGUUGCCACCCUGCCAAACACAAAUCAGAGAGCUCUAGGUCUUUACAAACACGGUAAGCUAUUGUAUAUGGCGGCUUAAUCAAAAUCUUUCACUAUUAAAUUGAAUAAUGUCGAACCAAUUAACGCAACCCAAAUUACAAAACCAAAGCAAAAUACCUAUCAAUUAACAUAUUUCACAAUUCACAUAUAGUGUGUAUGUGUGUGGGUAUCAAAUUUCAGUUUCGACAAAAAAUUUAUAAUUUUCCUUUUUUUUUUUCAGCUGAAACGACAAUUAUUGAUUCUUAGAGCAAGAACAAACAAGAAUUGAGAGAGAUGGGUGAAAUAAAAAGUACCUCAAUUUGGGUUUAGAAUUUGGAAAUCUACAAGUCCUACACUGCCCUCCUGGAAACCACAAGACAUUAAUCCUGCUAUUUGAAUUUG